rnacentral:rRNA from 1 species
UACGUAGGUGGCAAGCGUUGUCCGGAUUUACUGGGCGUAAAGAGUGCGCAGGCGGUCGUUCAAGUCGCGUGUGAAAGCCCCCGGCUCAACUGGGGAGGGUCACGCGAUACUGAUCGACUGGAAGGCAGGAGAGGGUAGUGGAAUUCCCGGUGUAGUGGUGAAAUGCGUAGAUAUCGGGAGGAACACCAGUGGCGAAGGCGACUACCUGGCCUGUUCUUGACGCUGAGGCGCGAAAGCUAGGGGAGCAAACGGG